UACGUAGGGUGCAAGCGUUAAUCGGAAUUACUGGGCGUAAAGCGUGCGCAGGCGGUUAUGUAAGACAGAUGUGAAAUGCCCGGGCUUAACCUGGGAACUGCAUUCGAGACUGCAUUGCUAGAGUAUGGGAGAGGGAAGUGGAAUUUCCGGUGUAGCGGUGAAAUGCGUAGAUAUCGGAAGGAACAUCAGUGGCGAAAGCGACUUCCUGGACCAAUACUGACGCUCAUGUGCGAAAGCGUGGGGAGCAAACAGG
rnacentral:rRNA from 1 species